GGUUUCGUGGCCCAAUGGCAAGGCGUCUGACUACGAUCAGAGUUCGACUAAACGAACUCCCAAGCGCAAUCAGGAGAUUCUGGGUUCGACCCCCAGCGAGAUCA
rnacentral:tRNA from 1 species